rnacentral:sRNA from 1 species
GCAGAGGCUCGCUACAGAAGCUACAGAAGCUAUAGAAGAAGAUGGUUACAUUUCAAGUGGGCAGGUGCCGUUUGCUUAUGAGCACCAUCAGCCACAUCAGCCACGGUUCUUUGAAUUUUACCUAAUUGUCUCUAAUUCUUAACAAUUCUUUGAGGUGAUCUGCAACUCUUUCACCAUCUGUAAUGCGGAGAUGCAGGAAGUUGGUGUUGGCCUAUAUCCCAGUAUCUCUUUGCUCAAUCACAGCUGUGACCCCAACUGUUCGAUUGUGUUUAAUGGGCCCCACCUCUUACUGCGAGCAGUCCGAGACAUCGAGGUGGGAGAGGAGGAUGCUGAUAUGCUAACUGGUGAUGAGCAAGUAUGGAAGGAAGUUCAAGAAUCCCUGAAAAAAAUUGAAGAACUGAAGGCACACUGGAAGUGGGAGCAGGUUCUGGCCAUGUGCCAGGCGAUCAUAAGCAGCAAUUCUGAACGGCUUCCCGAUAUCAACAUCUACCAGCUGAAGGUGCUCGACUGUGCCAUGGAUGCCUGCAUCAACCUCGGCCUGUUGGAGGAAGCCUUGUUCUAUGCUACUCGGACCAUGGAGCCAUACAGUUGAAUAAGACCAGGAAAGAAUCUUCUUUUAAAAAACUGAGCUCUAUCUGUCCUGAUUCCUGGUGCUGCUUCAG